AUAACUGCAAACCGACGCGUGCGUGGUGCCGUGGAGAACGAUCAGAAGUCCUGGACGACAAAGAAAAAAACUUCAAAGUCAAGUAGUUUCACACAACCGAAAUGACCAACUAGCCCACUCUAUUUGUCAACUGCUUCUAGUAGUGGUGCCCCUGGUGUGCACCUUUACCCCAAAUGUCUGCACCUUUGCCUACCGGUAAUGACAUAGAAAGUGCUCAGCUUCCUGGACAUAGGCAUGCAGGUUACGAGACGGAAAACGUGCAGCUUAGACUUAAUGCUUGUAAAUGCGAAAGUCGUAACCGACAUAAUUAGAGUAAGCUAAAAGGAGAAAUUUCUGCUUAUGAGCAAGUAAUUAUGAAGCAGGUUUUACUCCUCUUAAACUAGCAGACAUGCAACAACACAGUUGUGCUAUGUUUGUUUUGUGCGCCGUUUUCAUGCAUAUUUGUGCUUGCAGUGGAUAUGCAUAUACAUGAAGGAUUUGUUUUUGUUUUCCUCAGCUGCCUCUGCGAACCCCGCUCCUGGACAACAGCUGGGAGGCUCUGUGUUUAAACGCGUGCACCUUGGACGUCAUGCUCGUAAAUACCAAUUCCUUUGUCAUUCCUGGCAUGAAUUUCGUUGGUAAAGCAAUAAGUAAAAUUGUGCAUUGUUGUUUACAAGCACUUCAGUAUGAACCAGGCUUAAAGGAGAAGGGACCGACAACUGGCCAGAACUUGUGAUUAGAUCCUGUCAGAAAUGAAAAUACCGCGCUAUAUGCCGACAUAUUCCAGCAUCCUUUUCGCGCUGUGAGUAGGAUUUAUAUCUCUAAAUUGUGUUUAAAAGUAACAAAAAAAAAAGGUAUGUUGUGCAACCUAUCGCAAGAGCCUUGAAGCUAGAUUGCGGAGUUGAUCACUUUGCUGUACAAAGUCACGUAGUCUGAUACCGCCAUGUGUGCCAUUAUUGGUCCUAAAAAUAUUAGUAUGUAUAUUACUAUCCAUCCCCGCUCUAUUCUGUGCUGCUUAUGAGGUAAAAGGAGUUGCAUGGUGACAAGAAACGGCGCUGCCUUCGCGGUAGCCAGUGGACCAUGUCGAGCCGCAGCGCAUGCGCGCGAGUACACGCAAACGCAGUAAACUGCCGUACUCGAACACGAACCGCUGUCACGCUCACUGUUUGCAGCGUGUCUUGUCACGUGUGUAUACGACUUCAUAUCCGUCGCAGAUAGAAAAAUUCGAAUUACAAAUGUUUCACGGCAUUUUCCACAUCACCAUUCCUUGAUUAUACACUCUGACUGGUAAGCUUUCUGUCGCGCUAAAGAAAAUAGGUACCAUAAAAGUUGGUUGUCGGUCCCCUUUAACCUCUUAACACACACACAGGACAAAAUAGGCAUGCUAUAU